UACGUAGGGGGCGAGCGUUGUCCGGAAUUACUGGGCGUAAAGGGUGCGUAGGCGGCCUUUUAAGUCAGAUGUGAAAGGCUGCGGCUUAACCGCAGGACUGCAUUUGAAACUGGAAGGCUUGAGUGUCGGAGAGGGUAGUGGAAUUCCCAGUGUAGCGGUGAAAUGCGUAGAUAUUGGGAGGAACACCAGUGGCGAAGGCGACUACCUGGACGAUAACUGACGCUGAGGCACGAAAGCUAGGGGAGCAAACAGG
rnacentral:rRNA from 1 species